CAUGGCUCAGGACGAGGUUCCUACACCCAGCGAUCCCCCUAUCAGGAGGCGAGAAACCAGUCCCCCUUCUUCCCUUCUCGCGGAAAGCCAUGGCGAUCCAGAGGCUUCAGAGGGAACUCCGCUUCCAGACGCCCUUACGGUAAGCUUACAUCUACCUCAUGUUUCUUCCCAUAUUUGUGUAGGGGGCAGACUCCGUCAUUUUUUACAUACUUGGUCAGCCAUCACCUCCAAUGCUUGGGUUCUGGCCACAGUUCGGGGUUUUCACAUAGAAUUG